rnacentral:rRNA from 1 species
UCCUACGGGAGGCAGCAGUAGGGAAUCUUCCGCAAUGGACGAAAGUCUGACGGAGCAACGCCGCGUGAGUGAUGAAGCUUUCGGGUCGUAAAACUCUGUUGUUAGGGAAGAACAAGUGCUAGUUGAAUAAGCUGGCACCUUGACGGUACCUAACCAGAAGCCACGGCUAACUACCGUGCCAGCAGCCGCGG